rnacentral:tRNA from 1 species
GACUCCGUAGCUCAGUUGGUAGAGCAACAGACUCUUAAUCUGUGGGUCGUGGGUUCGACCCCCACCGGGGUCACCA